CCUCGUCCCUCUUGCCGCCGUCGCCUCCGCUGUCGAGUAGUGAGCGAGAGCAGCGAGAGGAACAACGAGCGAGCGAGCAGCCAGCCUUUCAUGGCCUCCGCCCUCUCUCUUCCCCACCCCUCUCCCCUCACCACAAGAGAAGAGAGGCAGGGAGAUCGACCGAGCAGAUCAGGCGGCGGCCGGCCAUCGGACGGGAGGGCGCCCAGAUCCAUCCGCCCCGAUCCGGCCAUGGGACUGGACUCAAAAUCGCGAGCAAGCGGCCGUGUGUCUCCUUCCUUCUGUUCGACGGGGCCAUGCGUAGGAGGAAGGAAGGAGGAGAAAGGAAGAGGCCGCCGGUGUGCGAGGUACGGCGUUGGAAUCGAUGGGGAUGGUUGCUCCUCCCAAGAUUCAGUUAUGGCAUGGACAUGUAUGCUGAAUAUCCCCUCACUGGACAAGAUUGGAUUUUAGUGUAUACAAGCCCUCCUCUCAGCUGCUCAGGUAGUUCUUCUUUCUCAUUAUCAAUAAAUAAGUUGGUUACAAAAUAUGCUUGAAGAUUGCAACAAAGAGAGAUUACCCGGCAGACUAAAAUAAUUGGGAGCUUCUGAUUGGACCCUUCAAGCAAUAGUGUUGUUAAUAUGUUAAUUAUUAGAUUAUGUUACUAGAAUAAUUAUUGGAGACACACACAUGCACACACACACAAACACACAAUUAUGUCUGUUCAUGUAUUAUAUCCUUAUAUGCAAACUACUUUUUUUUCCUUAUACACAGGGACCUAUGUUCUAUGUUGGAUGCAUAUUUUUUCACCGCUUUUGAAAUUAUUAUGGUGCAUCAGUGAUAUACCUAGCUUGUACUCAUUCCAACCGAAGGAGUGUGUCUUUAAUUUUCCUUUUAAGAAGAAACCUUCUGCAGUGAUAUGUCUCUAUAUUGGCAAAUGAUUAUGAUAGAAAUACCAGGAAGCUAAUUGGAACUCAUAAAGUUCAUGAGCAUCACGGAUGACAGGUUCACCUUUUUUCUUUUCUUUAUCUUACUCAGAGCCCACAGUGUGAUAAAUUUUAUUUUAUGUCUGCAACUUUUGGUAUCACAAAGCAAGGAUGAACCCUCUACAUCGUACUGCACCUUCAACUACUUCAUUUGUUGUGCUAUUGUGGAUGUACCUACCUGAUAUUUGAAUAAACUUUAGCCAUUCAAUAUACAUACCCGGAAAUUUAGACGCUCUUGUUCGUCACAGGCAUAAACACCUUACUGCAAAUGUUCUUUGUGUCUCGCCUCCACGUCGUGAUGGGUGGCUCCUACAGCUUCGCCAUGCCAACCAUCUCCAUGAGGUAGCUGUGCUUCUGGAUGAGCGGGCUAGCCAUGAGGCAAGGAGCAGCAAGGUCUGAGAGAAAAGGAGAAGGGGAUGAAUCUUGAGGAAGUGCUUGGUGAAGAAAAUAUGAUGUUCCUGAUGGCAAUGCUGGUAAUUAACAAUGAGAAAGAAGGAAGUGAGAUUGGAUUUGUACUAGGACAACGCCUCCCCAAGAUCUGGACCGGAUGCCACUGCGCGGCGUGAUUCCGGAUCGCGAGCAGAUUGCCGCCAUAUUUAUCUCUCUGUUUUCAGAGUCCCUCCCUAUUGCUAUCUCCCGCCUGAGUUUGCGUCGCUGUUGUGCGUUGUCUCUCCAUUCAUGCCUGCUCUUGACAGGAGCAGCACGGGCUGCCACACAACAUGCUUUACCUAGGACGGACUGCAGGUGGCCUCUAAUAUGGGUAGUGAGGAGUUCAAUUUUUCUAUACAAUCUCUAGGAGUUUAAUUAGGUAGCCUCUAAUAUGGGCUCUUGCCCAUUUUAUGUCCAAAAUCUAAUUGACCUUCUAAGUUUGCUAUAUAUACUAAAGGUUAUCAUGGUUUUAAUUGUACUGUGACUGGUUUACGGUUAUUAUUUUCUGUGUUUUCUGGCAAGUGCGCAUGUUUUGAAAUUAAGCUUCUUAAGAAAAUGAAAAUUAUAAUAAGGACAAGCAUGUUUCUUAUCUUCAUAAUUCAGUCAUAAACUAAUGGUCUUAGUUAUAUGGUGGUCUUUGAUCCUACCUCAAGGAACAAAGUUUCCAUCCUCUGUUCGGGGUUAUUCAAAGCUUGCCAUUGUUUUUCAAAAAAUUACUUGCAGAAUAUUAAUGCCAUCAUAUGCUCUAAUUCUCUGGUAGGCUGAUUCAUUGUGCUCAUUCGAUAAUUCUAUUACAUCAAGUUCAGGACGAUAUUGAGGCACGUGGCACCAAUGAUACAGACUCGUGUGGUGUUAUCAAGCGUUAAAGAGCUAGAAAAAGAUUUCGCAAGGGCAAGUUUUCAUGUUCUUUUCCUGUCUCCCGUCUCAGAUUUUUAUCCGUUCUUGUUUCCAGCUUCUUUGUAUCCAUAGCCUAUUAAUUAGUACUACAGUUGUUGCUUGUGAGGGGCCUAGCAACAUUGCUUCAUGCUGGUAUAGUUUCUUUCAUAUUUUCUUUAGUUUGGGGACAACAAUAGUUCUAUGGUCCUGCAUGUAUAAUAGAUGUACCCAUUGUUUCGCUUGCUCUGCUCGGUUGAGUUCUUCUCUAUUUUCCUUUUUAAUUUUUGACCUUUAUGAAAGGAAAGGGACAAGCGCUUCGCCUAAAACACCUAGGUACCAAGCCUGCCUUUGUCCUCUGCUACAUUUUGCACAAUCUGUUGUUUUGCCAGCACCUGAUAUACUUUUAUAUUUAAAUGCAGCAACUCACUAUGCCCUAAGAGCGCUCGUCGCAAAUUCUUUGCUUCACCUUCCAAGACCAAGGGAGCUGCACUGCCCGAGUCCAUAGUCAUACCUAGACGAGUUAUUUUAUUUCCUAUAGCUCUAUUACUUUUUCCUUGGAACCUGUCUCUCUAUUCCCCUUUACAAUACCAUACUCGGGAGGCAAGAAUGAAAAAUAUGCUUGAAUUGUAAUGUGGGUCCAAAGAAAUAUGUGUGAAUGGAAUAAGAAUUGUAUAUAGUUAUUGAUACAACAUCUUCGAGUAUAUAAAUUAAAUGACACCACUAUCUGAAAGUUACUUGUGUCUGCUUCCCCUCUUGAAAUUAACAUUUUGUUUUGAUUUUUCGGUACAUUAGUAAGGUCACUCAUCAAGGAAGUAUCUUCUCGGUACUUGCAUGAUGAAGGAAAAAAAUUGGUUUUCUAACUGCUUUGGAAAGUACAACCGUACAAGUAUGCGACAUAAUAAUGCUUGGAAAUUGGCAAAUGGCUGCAUCAUUUGAGCUAUUUUGGCGUCUCUGCCAUCCGAUUGUUGCUCAGUUUUUCUUUUGAAACGAGGCUAUCUAGAGUAUUUCAAGUUGUGGUUUAGGAAGACAAUUGUUGGUUAUAGUGAAUGACUUCGUCGGACUAUUUGUUCAUUUGGCUAUCUUAAUGCAGUCCCAUGUGCAUACAUUUUGCAGGCAUCAGUGAAGAUUUGGGAGGCAGAGAGGGAUUGCUCAAGUGGAAACAGAGCAAGAACCACAAGGAGCUCAAGAUAUGUGCCCGAAUAAUAUUAAUGUACACUCUUUCAAUACAUGGCUUACUCUUGGCCUUUGCGCCAUUGGCGCAACUGGUCAUCUAGUAUAUGGAAAAGUUCUAGUGAGGGCGGGAAAACUUUAGUUCCACAAGUAUUUUGGGUUUCUCUGGUGCUGCUUGGUGCUGGAGAAUAGCCUAUUUGGACAUAAUGUUGUGUGGGGAGAGGGAGGGAUGGAUCCCUCUCUCAACAUAGCAUUGUCAGCUUUUGCCUCGAUGGGCCUUGAGUCUGUUUUAGUAAGUGUUAGGUCCGGAGUCUGUUUUUUUAAGCCAAGACCGUAGAACAAUUGUUCCACCGUAAUUUUUCAUUAAUUAAAUAUGUACACAUACAAAAGCCUAA